rnacentral:lncRNA from 1 species
GAACAUUGUUCCUGUCUGGCUUCUACUUGAGUUCUUGCCUCCAGGGUCCUCCCUUGGGUUCCUGUCCUGACCGCCUUUCCUAAUGGAGUACACCUGUAAACUAUAAAACUCCCGGGUUGCUUUGUCAUGUUGUGUAUCACACUGACAGAAAGAAAAUGAAGACAGAAACGGCACCAGGAGUGUGGGAUGUGAACGCUGUGACCACCGUGGGAAGGACUGUGGAGGUGCUCAGAAGAGUGGGCUCUUACAGCUACCGAGUGAGCAGAGCUUAAUGGGCUGUUGUGUAAGAGCCUGAAAGAGAAGACUGUUGAGAGCAGUGCAGAAGAUGGAGCCUGACUUGUGAGGCUUCAGAGGGACUUUUGAGAGUCCCUUCAAGACUACUGGGACCAUUCGAAUUCAGGAUCAGUGGUUCUGGCCAGCUGGGACUGAUGAAUCAACUCUGAAGAGCCCAGAACCACAGAACCACAGAACCACUCAUGGGAAUUCUUUGCUUUGUUAGGACAAUCAGACUUAGUCACUGGGGCUGGGAAAUUAGUGGCGAUUAAGAAGAGACCAGCAUCAUUGAGAUGAAAUCUAAGAAGUGGUUGCUCGGGGUCAGCGACCAGGAGCUGUGGUCUAUCGAGAGCCAAGGAUGUGCCUUGUGUCCGCAGCUGAAACUGGUAACGUGUAUGAGUGUCUCAGGCGGUCCUGGUUUGAAGACAGGGAGAGCGUCUGAAGAUUGGCACUGUGAGAGAUCAGGGGAGUUGUGGAUGCAGCCUCAGACGCAGUUGAUACCUCAGGAUUGAAAGAGUCAUGCAGAGAAGAUGGGGCGUGGAAUGCUUUGACAUGGUCGGAGUACCUGAAGGUAGCCCAAAGGAAGGCUAUUGGUGAAGGGACAGCCAUGUAGCAACAGAGAUACCAGAAUUCUGGAGAUGCCAGGACUGUGGGAUGAGCAACAAGGAUAGCAAUAGCUGUAGAGUAGAGCUGGCCUGAACCUAGGAGACAAGCUAUGUGUCCUGUCAAGGAAUGGCCGGGCUCGAGACCACCCAGAGGAUUUUGAAUGAGUCUCAGACAGAAGGUCAACGACUCUAUGAUUCAACACAGAGUGCUGGGUGUUGGUUUUACUUUGUUGAAAUUGUGAGCGUUCCUUGGUUCAAUGCGUGUAACUCGUUUUAUUCUGCAGGAACCUACAGCUGAGGGACUCUGGUUCUUAAGAAACUGUGAAUUUUCAAAGAGCCUUUGUAUAUUUGAAGGAGACUGAGCUUUUAAAACAGACGGUGGAACAUUAAAAGUCAUACUAGGCUUUAUAUUGUGAUAUUAACAUGAGAUCUGGGGGACAAACAAGAAGGGCAUUUUAGCAGUGUCAAGCUUUUGUGUGUCAAGGUGACAACUGCUCAAUUGUGCUAAAAAAUUAAUUAAUUGUCAACGUCACACAAACUAGGGUCUUCUAGGAAGAGGAAUUCUUCAUUGAGAAAAUGCCUCCUUAAGAUUUGCCUGGAGGCAAAGCAUAUUUUCUUGAUUGAUGAUUGAUGUGGGAUGCCUCAGGUCACUGGGGUGGUGCAACACCUGGCCACGUGGUCCUAGAUGGUAGGCUAAGCAAGCUGUUACACUGUUUCUCUAUGGCUUCUUCUUCAGUUCCUGCCUCCAGGUUUCUGCCUGGAAUUCCUAUCCUGACUUCCCUCCAUGAUGAGGGGUGACCAGAGAGCUAUAAGAGAAAACAAACCAUUUCCCCACUGAGUUGUUUCUGGUCGUGAAUAGAAACCCCAAGUAAGAUCAAUGGUUGCCUUACACUUCUAUGCAUUUGUCUUUGAAAGAACAGACAUUUUCUUUAGAAUGUUUAUUGUUUGUGUUUUAAACCUAGCCCCCUUGACAAUUCUUACUCGCUUUAGAAACUGCUCUUCCUUAGAGGAUCUUGGAGUUACAGGCACACAACCCUUUCAGCAAGCCUUCAGUACAAUAUUAAAUCAUUGUAAAAGGGGGGCGGGAACUUGGUUGAUUCCUAAUUUUAAUCAAAACAGUUUGAGAGUUUUGACUUUUGAAUAUCUGCUGUUGUGAAAUACACACACAUACACACACACACACACACACACACAUACACAAAUACACGUGCGCGCGCCCGCACAUGGGAGCACCUUUGUUAUUUUUCUUCCUCCUGGUUUGCUUUUUUCAGAUUUAUUGUAUUAUUAAUAUCUACGACCUUUAUCAGCCAGCUCUGUUCUCUGCAGUCGGUGGCCUCUGCUGUCUUGGCAAGCACACAUCUCUUGACGCAUUUGUACAACAACCCACGACAACUGGAAGAGUCCCCUGUCCUUUAACUCCCAAGUACAGUGUAAUACACUGACUACAGUGUAUUGGCCUUACCCAAAAAUCUACUGGUUAAUAAGCUAUUGUAAACUUCAUGCAUAGAUAAUAUUACUCUACAUUGCUUAAAUGUUAUCAGUGGGGCUUCAGUGAUAGCUUACCACUUAACUGCUCUGGCAGAGGACCUGGUUUGAGUUCCAUUAAAAAAAUAGUUCAAAGUGUA